AUGUACCUGAAGGGCUGGAAUCUCAAUGUUGAAGGGAUGUAUAAGAAAAGUAGAAAUGGCUUAAUUACUCAGCUAGAUAAUAUUGAUAAAAGAUGUGAGCAAACUGGAUUCUCCAUUGCUGACUAUGAGUUAAGAGAUGCUUUACAACAUAACUUGAAUAAAUUGCUUCAAGAGGAAGAGAUUAAAUGGUACCAACCCUCUAAAGAGAGGGACAUUAGGGAAGGCGAUAAUAUCAGUAGGUAUCUUAUGAUUAAAGCUAGUGGUAGAAAGCGUAAGAGCAAAAAAAAUAGAUUUGUUUAG
rnacentral:rRNA from 1 species